rnacentral:tRNA from 3 species
GGAAGCGGGAGAAAGCUGGUGCUUUCAGCAGUCUUCAAAACUGUAGGGUGGCUUAGGUCAUUGGUAGGUUCGAUUCCUACACGCUUCCGCCA